rnacentral:rRNA from 1 species
UGGUGGAUUAGUGGCGAACGGGUGAGUAACACGUGGGCAAUCUGCCCUGCACUCUGGGACAAGCCCUGGAAACGGGGUCUAAUACCGGAUAUGACAUACGGCCGCAUGGUCUGUAUGUGGAAAGCUCCGGCGGUGCAGGAUGAGCCCGCGGCCUAUCAGCUUGUUGGUGGGGUGAUGGCCUACCAAGGCGACGACGGGUAGCCGGCCUGAGAGGGCGACCGGCCACACUGGGACUGAGACACGGCCCAGACUCCUACGGGAGGCAGCAGUGGGGAAUAUUGCACAAUGGGCGAAAGCCUGAUGCAGCGACGCCGCGUGAGGGAUGACGGCCUUCGGGUUGUAAACCUCUUUCAGCAGGGAAGAAGCGCAAGUGACGGUACCUGCAGAAGAAGCACCGGCUAACUACGUGCCAGCAGCCGCGGUAAUACGUAGGGUGCGAGCGUUGUCCGGAAUUAUUGGGCGUAAAGAGCUCGUAGGCGGCUUGUCACGUCGGAUGUGAAAGCCCGGGGCUUAACCCCGGGUCUGCAUUCGAUACGGGCAGGCUAGAGUUCGGUAGGGGAGAUCGGAAUUCCUGGUGUAGCGGUGAAAUGCGCAGAUAUCAGGAGGAACACCGGUGGCGAAGGCGGAUCUCUGGGCCGAUACUGACGCUGAGGAGCGAAAGCGUGGGGAGCGAACAGGAUUAGAUACCCUGGUAGUCCAC